UGGAACUUAGAAAUUCUUGAUGUUCUGUACUAUAUCAGCAAUGAUUGAACACGAUGUUCAAUCAAGCCGCCACUGAGCCAUGGAUGGCGAAUUGGCGGCGGUUGCGUCCGAAUUCAUAAUCUACAACAGAACAUCUUAGAAUUUCUUAGUUUCA
rnacentral:ncRNA from 1 species